AGAAAUAAAACUAAAACUGUUCAACAACCAUCAGUUUGAUGGAGAUCAGAAAGAUUGGACUGUUUCAGUGGAAAAGGUCAUGUGAUCUGAU